UGGGGAAUAUUGCACAAUGGGCGCAAGCCUGAUGCAGCGACGCCGCGUGAGGGAUGACGGCCUUCGGGUUGUAAACCUCUUUCAAUAGGGACGAAGCGCAAGUGACGGUACCUAUAGAAGAAGGACCGGCCAACUACGUGCCAGCAGCCGCGGUAAUACGUAGGGUCCGAGCGUUGUCCGGAAUUACUGGGCGUAAAGAGCUCGUAGGUGGUUUGUCGCGUUGUUCGUGAAAACUCACAGCUUAACUGUGGGCGUGCGGGCGAUACGGGCAGACUAGAGUACUGCAGGGGAGACUGGAAUUCCUGGUGUAGCGGUGGAAUGCGCAGAUAUCAGGAGGAACACCGGUGGCGAAGGCGGGUCUCUGGGCAGUAACUGACGCUGAGGAGCGAAAGCGUGGGGAGCGAACAGGAUUAGAUACCCUGGUAGUCCACGCCGUAAACGGUGGGUACUAGGUGUGGGUUUCCUUCCUUGGGAUCCGUGCCGUAGCUAACGCAUUAAGUACCCCGCCUGGGGAGUACGGCCGCAAGGCUAAAACUCAAAUGAAUUGAC
rnacentral:rRNA from 1 species